rnacentral:siRNA from 1 species
UGAGUUUUCUGGGUCACAUUAU